AAAGGAGUAAGAAUGGCUUCUAGAAGCUGGGAAAGGCCACGAUGCGGAUUUUUCCCUAGAACCUUCAGAAAGUAUGUCAUCUUGCCAACUCCUAGUGAGACCCAGAACUGGAAAUAGGACCUGCAAAGUGGAUACCAACCUAGCCUCCACCAUAGAGAGUCCUUGCUUUCAAGGAGCUCAGAAAACUGGGAUUCAGAAGAAGAAGCCACACAUACUUUAUCCAGGUUCUCCUGCCCUCGGACUGGUUCCUGUGGUGAACUCUGCUCUUGAGUCUCUGCUCUGAUUGUCAAUAGGCGGACUACAUGGCAUGAACUGACGUACAAAUUAUCCACUGG